AUCUGUGGCCAUACCACCUUGAAUAUCCCUGAUCCUCUGACCUUCAAAGCCAAUCAGGGCUGGGCCUCAUUAGUACUUGUAUAGGAGACAUUCUGGGAGUACUGGGUGCUAUAGGUU
ensembl:rRNA 5S_rRNA 5S ribosomal RNA